CCUACGGGAGGCAGCAGUGAGGAAUAUUGGGCAAUGGGCGCAAGCCUGAACCAGCCAAGUCGCGUGAGGGAUGACGGUCCUAUGGAUUGUAAACCUCUUUUGUCGGGGAGCAAGGCCCGCCACGUGUGGCGGGAAGGAGAGUACCCGAAGAAAAAGCAUCGGCUAACUCCGUGCCAGCAGCCGCGGUAAUAAGGAGGAUGCGAGCGUUAGCCGGAUUUAUUGGGUUGAAGGGGUGCGUAGGCGGAAGGUUAAGUCAGCGGUAAAAUGUCGGUGCUCAACACCGGCCUGCCGUUGAAACUGGUCUUCUUGAGUGAGCGAGAAGUAUGCGGAAUGCGUGGUGUAGCGGUGAAAUGCAUAGAUAUCACGCAGAACUCCGAUUGCGAAGGCAGCAUACCGGCGCUCAACUGACGCUGAGGCACGAAAGCGUGGGGAUCGAACAGGAUUAGAUACCCGUGUAGUC
rnacentral:rRNA from 1 species